GACGAACCGUGCGAACGUUGUUCGGAAUCACUGGGCUUAAAGGGCGCGAGUAGGCGGGCGGCCGAGUCCGAGGUGAAAUCCUGCAGCUCAACUGCAGAAGUGCCCCGGAUACUGGCCGUCUCGAGGGAGGUAGGGGCAUGUGGAACUUCCGGUGGAGCGGUGAAAUGCGUAGAUAUCGGAAGGAACGCCGGUGGCGAAAGCGACGUGCUGGACCUCUACUGACGCUGAGGCGCGAAAGCCAGGGGAGCAAACGGG
rnacentral:rRNA from 1 species